rnacentral:rRNA from 1 species
GUAAAAAUUUUUAUUUUAUUAAAAUUUUUGUUUAUAAUAAAUAAAAAAAUUAAUUUUUAUUAGAAUUAAGAAAAAAUAAUUUUUAUUAUAGUUAAUUAGUAUUGAGAAAGAAAAAAUUUAUAUUAUUAUAAGAAAAAUUUAAUUUUUGUACCUUGUGUAUCAGGGUUGAUUAAUUUUAUGUUAAUUAUUUAAUAUUCUCGAAUUUAAAAGAGUUAACUUUUUAUAUAUUUUAUUGUAAAAUAAAUAUUUAAAAUAAAAAGUUUGAAAUGAAACGUUAUUCGUUUUUAAAUAUAUCUAGUUUUUAAAGAAAUAAAUUUAAUUUAUUUAUUAAUAAUUAAAAAUUUUCUUUUUUAAUUUUUUAUUAUUAAUAUUAAAUUUUUUUAGGGAUAAGCUUAAGAAAAUAUUUUUAUAAUAAAUAUUUUUAUGAAUAAUUUAUAGGAAUAAAAUUUUCUAUUAAUAAAAAAAUGUUAUAAUUAAUUAUUUGUUAAUUUAUAUUUAUAUUUUAUUUAAUUUUUAUAUUUAAAUAUUAAUAAUAAUUAUUUUUAUUAAGUAAUAAUGAUUAAAUUAGUAUAAAUUAUUGUAAAUAAAAAUUUUUUAUUUAAGGUAAAUUUAAGGAACUCGGCAAAAUUAUUUUUCACCUGUUUAAUAAAAACAUGUCCUUUUGAUUAUAAUUUAAGGUCUAAUCUGCCCACUGAAUUUUUAAAUGGCCGCGGUAUUUUGACCGUGCAAAGGUAGCAUAAUAAUUAGUUUUUUAAUUGAAAGCUGGAAUGAAUGAUUGAAUGAGAAAAUAACUGUCUCAAAUUUAUUUAUUUAGAAAUUUAUUUUUAAGUUAAAAAGCUUAAAUUUUAUUAAAAGACGAGAAGACCCUAUAGAGUUUUAUAUUUAAUUUAAUUUGUAUUUUUAUAGUUUGAUUAUAAUUGAAUUAUCUUAUUUAUUUUGUUGGGGAGACAGAAAAAUUUAUCAAACUUUUUUUAUAUUUAUACAUUAAUUAAUGAUUAUUUGAUCCAAAUUUUUUGAUUAUAAGAUUAAAUUACCUUAGGGAUAACAGCGUAAUUUAUUUUGAGAGUUCUAAUCGAAAAAUGAGAUUGCGACCUCGAUGUUGGAUUAAAGUGUAUUUUUGGUGUAGAAGCUAAAAUUUUAGGUCUGUUCGACCUUUAAAACUUUACAUGAUCUGAGUUUAAAUCGGUGUGAGCCAGAUUGGUUUCUAUCUUUAAUUAAGAUAAAAUAUUUUAGUACGAAAGGACCAAAUAUUUAUUAAAUUAAUUUAUUUUUGAAUAUUAAU